rnacentral:rRNA from 1 species
AGCGAACGCUGGCGGCAGGCUUAACACAUGCAAGUCGAGCGGGCGUAGCAAUACGUCAGCGGCAGACGGGUGAGUAACGCGUGGGAACGUACCUUUUGGUUCGGAACAACACAGGGAAACUUGUGCUAAUACCGGAUAAGCCCUUACGGGGAAAGAUUUAUCGCCGAAAGAUCGGCCCGCGUCUGAUUAGCUAGUUGGUGAGGUAACGGCUCACCAAGGCGACGAUCAGUAGCUGGUCGAGAGGAUGAUCAGCCACAUUGGGACUGAGACACGGCCCAAACUCCUACGGGAGGCAGCAGUGGGGAAUAUUGGACAAUGGGCGCAAGCCUGAUCCAGCCAUGCCGCGUGAGUGAUGAAGGCCCUAGGGUCGUAAAGCUC